GAUGUCGACUUGGAGGUUGUGCCCUUGAGGCGUGGCUUCCGGAGCUAACGCGUUAAGUCGACCGCCUGGGGAGUACGGCCGCAAGGUUAAAACUCAAAUGAAUUGACGGGGGCCCGCACAAGCGGUGGAGCAUGUGGUUUAAUUCGAUGCAACGCGAAGAACCUUACCUGGUCUUGACAUCCACAGAACUUNNCAGAGAUGCNUUGGUGCCUUCGGGAACUGUGAGACAGGUGCUGCAUGGCUGUCGUCAGCUCGUGUUGUGAAAUGUUGGGUUAAGUCCCGCAACGAGCGCAACCCUUAUCCUUUGUUNCCAGCGGUUAGGCCGGGAACUCAAAGGAGACUGCCAGUGAUAAACUGGAGGAAGGUGGGGAUGACGUCAAGUCAUCAUGGCCCUUACGACCAGGGCUACACACGUGCUACAAUGGCGCAUACAAAGAGAAGCAAUCUCGCGAGAGCUAGCGGACCUCAUAAAGUGCGUCGUAGUCCGGAUUGGAGUCUGCAACUCGACUCCAUGAAGUCGGAAUCGCUAGUAAUCGUGAAUCAGAAUGUCACGGUGAAUACGUUCCCGGGCCUUGUACACACCGCCCGUCACAUCCAUGG
rnacentral:rRNA from 1 species